UUUUCUUAUUGAAGAAAAGCUUGUUACACGCCUAGAGCUAAGAACAUGGGCUACACAUAUUUUUCUAGUUUCUCUCCAAAAUUCAUUGUAUGGAGAAAAAGUUAUCCCUAACCCAUUGUAGGUUAAUUUUUGCUGACCAAUUAAGUUUGGUCUUCCGGCAAAUUCACGGUCAUGGUUUUUCAAUGCUUCUUUGGCCAACUCAGGGGAUGAAAUAACAAUUGCUUUCCUUAGACCUAAUUGAAGGGAGAAUAUAGGGCCAUAUUUCUUUGAGAAUUCAAAUAGUUGAAGAUAAAGGGAAGAAUUAUCUAAUUGGUGAAGAUUUCCAAUUAUUGGAAGCCCUCUAGGACCUGGUGGAAAGUCUUUUUUCUUGUUAUGUGUUUGUUUUUGGAAGAAGAAGAAGAUGAACAAAGGAAGAGUUAGACAUAAAAUUAAGACAAGUGCUGAUACCAUGUUGUAUGUGGCUGGCCUCAACGAGUGAUGAGGAGAAGAGCAUUAUCAUAGGGUUAGAAUAUUAGAAGAUUAGAAUAUACAUAAUAUAAUAUAAUUUUUUUUAAUUAUUUAAUACUUAAGAAUAAGUAAUUUGAUGACAGAUUUUACUAUAAACUUUUAUAUAGUUAGUCUCAAAUCUAAAUAAAAGAUAAAAUUAUAUUAGAUAUUUGAUAACUAACAUAAGACUUUAUCAAAUCUUAAUUAGAGAUAUAUUUAGUAUUUGUUACGUAUAUUUUAAAAUUAGUUACCAAAAUCAAUUAUCAGUAUAAAAUAGAUGUUAAAAUAUAAAUAUAUAUUGAAAAUAAAUUAAAUCACAUAUAUCAUUAUAUAUAAAUACAUUAAUGACUGAUUUUAGUAGCUAAUUUUAAUGUACGAAUAAUAUUUUUAUUUGGCUAUAUAGUAUGUAAUAAACAGUAUCAUAAAUAUAUAUAAACCACAAAAAAUGGUAGAUUAUUUCUAAAGAAGUAUUUAAAAAAUAAAACCUUAUUAUUUGUGCUAUACGAUCGUAUUAGCUUUUACUUUUGAUUAUUUUUUUUUCCUUUGUAUAUAAUAGAACAAAUUAAUCACUAUCUAAACUUCUGGCUGUGGGACUCCAUCGCGGUUCAUACUGUCCCUAGAAAUAAUUGGAUCCACUCGACAGGGAUGCAGACAUGAAGUGGACGGCGGAAAUUGAACAUUGUAUCAUCAUUACAUUCAAAAUUUUAUAAUUUAUUACUAUGUUGAUAAAUUUGUUUUAUUAAAUAUUCUAACUAAUACUCUUAAAACACUUAUGAGCAUAAUUCUAAUUAAAAAUGUUUUCCGAAAUUUCAUUUAUAUCUAAUAAAAUAGAUUCUCUGAAAGCACUAGAUUGAGACAAAAGGAUUAUGCCCAUGUACAUUUUAUAUUUAUAAUUGAAUGAGACCACAUAUAGUUUGAUCACGUGCACACAACUUUGGUCCCCAGAUGCAUGCGAUAUUGUUAAGAUGGUGAGAAUCGAAUCGAUUAUUGAACCAGUUAAAUGAUUGGUUCAAUAAUUUAAUAGUCCAAUUAGAAUCAAAUCAUAAUUGAAUUAAUUUAAUUAAAUAUAUAAUAAAAUUAUAAAAAAAUUUAAUAUAUAAUCAAAAAUUGAAUAUGGUAUUCAAAAAUUAAAUAAACAAGUUUUUAANNNNNNNNNNNNNNNNNNNNNNNNNNNNNNNNNNNNNNNNNNNNNNNNNNNNNNNNNNNNNNNNNNNNNNNNNNNNNNNNNNNNAUAAAAAAAAAAAAAAACUGAAAAACAGAUUUUGAGUGGACAUCAAAUUACAAAAGAGUCUUUUGUACUUUUUGUAACAAACAAACUACACAAGUAGUCAGCAUCUAUUGAAAAUAAGAUAAUUCGUUCAUAGCAAAGUUCUGUUAUAGGGUUUGGACCAACGAUGGACUUGAACACACACUUAUCUUCAAUUGAAAACAAGAUCAUUCAUUCAUAACAAUAUCAGCAUCCAUUGAAAACUCUUCUUUCAGUAUCAAAUCAGAGAUAAAUCCAGUUGAAGAACACAAAUAUCUCAAUUGCAUAUUGACACUUUCAUUCCCAGCAAAGUACCAUCAACAACUCAGAACUAGAAGAAUUAGAAAAAAUCAGGAACCAACAACAAAAAUCAGAAUCAGUAUAACAAAAAAAGCUCAUAAAUCAGAAUCAAUAUAACAAACCAAGUUUUCUUAAGUUUAACUAAUUUUACUCGGCAACAAGCCAGCCAACAACUAGUAAAUUAACUCAGAAUUAGAAAAAAUAACACAAAAAUAACUCAGAAAAUUAUCAAUAAUCAACAAUAAUUAACCAGAAAUCAGAACAAAAUAACAACAAUCCAGCUCUGUUAACAACAAUGAACAUCGAAGAAAAUUAACUUAGAAAACAGCUAAUUAACCCAAAAAAAAUCAACAAUCAACAUAAUUAAAUCCAGAAAAAUAGUAAUUAACUCCCAAAAAUAAAAUUGAAGAAGCUGUGGAGGGAUAUAGGCUUAUCAACGGUGACAAUGACUGAGCUACGAGAAAGAGAGAGAGAGAGAGAACAGAGAUGAAGCAAAAAAACACCGACGAGAAGCAAACGUGCGUGAGCGACGGCGAUGACAGAAGUCCAUGACUAAGUUGAGGUGCGCCGGUGAGAACUAUAAGCGAACCAAACUUAACAAAAUCAGAAAAAUCAGCAACUCAGGGCUGACGACGAUGACGGGCUUGACCUUCAAGAGGACCGAGCAGACCUUUAAGAGGGCUGUCACUGUCGACGACGACAGUGGCGAGGCUAGCACGCGUUCUGGAGCUUGAAGGUGGCUGCAGUUUUGAUAGGGUUUCGCUCGUGUAUGAGAGAGAACUGAAAGAGAUUUGGUUUCUUUUUUUUUUUUUUAAUAUAUAGUGUAGCGAACCGGGAUGCCUAAAAAUGUGGACGGUUCAAACGGUUCACCGAUUAACCAUCGAUUCGUCUAAUUCUUUUUCCGAUUUUUGCAGAUCGAUUUUUAGUAUCAAUCAGACCAGUUAGAUGACUAGUUUUCGAUUAAGUCAGUUAAAUCGGCCAGUCCGAUCCUAUUUUUGGAACCUUAGAUGUUACACAAAUGUUAUUUUUAUGAUAAAAAAUAACUAAAUGUUAAUGAAAAUAUUAUCAAUAAAAUAAUUUGUUAACAAUUAUUAGAUGGUUGUCAAAAAUAAUUAAAUAUAACUAUUGACUGUCAAGAUUGUUAAAUAUUUUUUUUAAUAAUUAGUAAAAUUAUGUGGUAACGAAAGAUGAGAUUAUGUGUAUGUGUAUCUGUACAUAUUGAGAGUUUGAGAUUAAAAAUGACUGACAAUAGAUAGGGUAGGAUAGAAUUUGAACUCACUUUAAUUUUAUUUACGGGUUAAAUUUGUUAUUAAAAUCCAAUCCUAUUCUAUUUACUAAUUGAGAACAAUACAACUCUAAUCCUACUGCAGUCAACCUGUGGAUUUUCGAUUCUAUUCGCAAAGUUUUUUUUACAAAUAUGCGAUAUUAUUAUAUAACCUAAUGAGCAUGCAAAUUAAAAAUUCAAUAUAAAUAGUACAAUAAUCAUCUACAAAUAACAUAAUGGUCCUAUAAAUAAUAUAAUCAUCAAAUAUUUAAUUCUACAUGAAAGUUUUUGUUUAAAUUAAUAACACAAACAUAAAUAUAAUAUUACAUUUAUAUAUUACUAAUAUAAAAUUAAUUUUUAUAUAAACAAAAGUGAUAAAUUAUUAAUUGAUUAUCUUCAUUUAAUAAUAAAGAUUUUUUAUGAUUUAAUCGGUAGCAUUGAAAUUCAAUCCGCAUCCUAUUCUACCUGUGCUCAAAUUCAUUUCGUACUCAAUUCUACUUCCAACAAAUUGAAUUGACAAUCUUAUUCGACUGUCUGAGAUCGAUUACUAUAAAGGGUCGGAUAAUGUAAGUGAUAUAAGUGAAGUAGAGUAGCAGCAGUUAAAAAAUCAAGAUCAAAAAAUGUUUAUUGUGACCGUUACUUCAGUCCCACAUUAGUAAUAUACAUAACUCUGCAUCUAUAUAAUGCAGAGCUGCAUAUAGUGCAAUUGAUAUUCAGUUUUAAUUCUUUAUUUUUUUUUUUAAGUUUACUCAAAACUUUAUAGAUAAGAUGUCUAAAAAUUAACCGGACUAAUCAAAAUUAUCCGCGUGUUUUAUAAUUGUAUCGUUAAAAAACUAUCACAAUUCUAUAAUGAAAAAGUUUUUUUUUUACAGAGAAAAUUGAGAUNNNNNNNNNNNNNNNNNNNNNNNNNNNNNNNNNNNNNNNNNNNNNNNNNNNNNNNNNNNNNNNNNNNNNNNNNNNNNUAUAUUGAAAUAUCAAAAGUUCUAUAAACUAAACUAGUCAAUGAAUCAGUUAAAAGAUUGAUUUAAUAAUUUAUAUACAGUUGUUUUUAUUUAAAUUGAUGAUUGAAAUAUUUUAAAUAAUUAUUUAAUAUUUUCAAUUAUUAACUUUACAUAAAAAUAAUUACAUGUGAAUUUUUACUUUAAAUUAAAGUUUCAUUCAAAAUUUUGUUUUUUUUUUUUAAUCCAAAUUAAAAAAAGUCGUUGGUUCAACUGGUUUAUGACCAAUUUUCUGUUAACAGAUUUCGUAUAAAUUGAAUCGGAUCAAAUAGAAGGCCCGGCUAAUUGUGUCGACUUAUUAGUUCUCAGAACAUUGAGAAUUAUUUGUGUUUUUAAAAAAAUUCUUCCAUUUAUUAUCUUUAUUUUAAACUUUUAUAAGAAAAGUAUAUGUAUAAUAGUUAAAAUAAUGAUAUUAUCAAAAAAAUUUUCUAUCUCUAAGGAGAACGAUAAUUUUUUUUCCCUCCAAAUAUAUAUUUUACACCAACUCAAAUAUUACAAAAAUAACUAAAAUAAUACAAACGUUAGGAUCAAAUUUCUAUAUAUACUAUCAUUUCUUUAAAGUGGAUUCUAAUAUGAUUAUCUUCCAAUAGUUAUAAUAAUUAAUAAUAUUAUGCGAGUGUUAUUNNNNNNNNNNNNNNNNNNNNNNNNNNNNNNNNNNNNNNNNNNNNNNNNNNNNNNNNNNNNNNNNNNNNNNNNNNNNNNNNNNNNNNNNNNNNNNNNNNNNNNNNNNNNNNNNNNNNNNNNNNNNNNNNNNUUUAGCUAAACUGAUUUGUUCAAUCUAAUUUUAAUAAAAAUAACAUAGUUUAAUUGAUUAUAUAUAUUAAAUUUUAAUUUUUAAAAAAUAUCUUUUAAAAAAAGAUGUUUUUAACAUCUUUAUAUAAGUGGCUUCCUUUUUAAAAUAAUAUAAUUAGCAUAAUAUAGUUAUACUAAAAUGACUCCUUUUUUAAUACAAUAACCGUUUUUUAUUUAAGAACUUACUCACAUACAUAUCUAUCAAAAUACCUACAAAUAUGUGACAUAUAUUUAAUCAUAGUCUUGCACUUCCUGAGCAAAGAAAAUAAAUAAAAGAUACAACUAAAUUACACUUUUACAUAUCUUUACAAAUCCUUGUUAUUUUUUGCAAUAAGGUAAAGAGGAUUCUUCUUAUGUUGUGUUAAUCCUGGUAACACUUGAGUAUCAAUAUCUUCUUUUUUGAUUCCUUGUGGAAGCUCCCAAUCAAAAGAGUAAAGAAGAUUAGCAAGAAUAAGGUCAAGUGAAGCAAGUGCCAUAUGUAUACCUGGGCAAAUUCUUCUACCAGCACCAAAUGGAAUCAGCUCGAAAUGUUGUCCAAGAAAAUCUAUAUCACUGCCUAAGAAUCUCUCAGGAUAAAAUUCAUAUGGGUCUUUCCAAGCUUCAGGAUCUCUAUGAAUAGUCCAAGCGUUCACAUACACUAUAGUCUUGCUUGGAAUUUCAUAGCCAUUUAUAAUGCAAGUUUUGUUUGUUUCUUUUGGUAUAAGUAGUGGUCCUGGUAAGUGCAAUCUUAACGUUUCUUUUAUUACAGCUUUAAAAUAACUACACUUUUGAAUAUCUUCUUCUUCUAAAAAAUCUUUUUGACCUCCAAAAUUUCUAACUUCUUCUUGAACGUUCUUCAUUACUCUUGGAUUUUUUAUUAGUGCCGUCAUAGCCCAAACUGUUGUGGCUGCAGUUGCAUCUGUUGCUGCUACAAGUAUGUCCUAUAAAAGAAAAUUAAAUAAUAUUAGCAAAGCAAAUAAAUUUAACGGUAAAAGCAGUAGUCAUGGAGAAUAUUUACCAGUACUACAAUAUGUUAUUAUUGUGGUAUAUAUUUACCAUAACUAGAUAUUGUAUACUUGUGAUAAUAUUUACAGUUAUCUCAUGCUAUGGAACUAACUACUCAAUCAACUAAUUUUUUUUAAUAAAUAAAUUCAACAAAUUUUAAUUUUAAAAUUAUUAUUUUAUCUUUUAUUUAUUUUCUUUCUUUUUAAUAUCACAAUUUCAUUCACCACCAUUAAUUAUCUACUAUCACAGUCAGCUACCUCUGAUAAAUAUAAAUUUUAAAUUUUAAUUUCUAAAUCUUAAAUCUUAAAUUCUAUAUCCUUAAUCAGUUUUAUAUUAUUUGAUUUUCAAAUGCUCUUUUUACUUUUAUUUUGGAUUUUUUUAUAGCUUUUAGUUUUGAAUAAUUUUUAUAUUCAUUUCUUUUUAAUUGGUGAUUGAUUUUUAAAUUAGUUGGCUAAAUUAAUGUCAGAAUUCUUAUACCUUUUCUAAAUAUUUUACACAAUAUUCAUUGUAUAUGUUUAUCAUAAAAUUACUUUUUUAAAAAAUUUAAACUAAUAAAAAAAGCACAUAAAAAAUUAUAUCUCUAAUAUAAUUUUUUCAUGCAAGAGGUUUUUUAUUUAAAUUUACAUAAGCUUUAUUUUUUUUCUUAUAUGUCUAAGAGAUACUUGUAAUUUUCUCAUGCAAGAGGGUUUUUUUUUUUAAUUUACAUAAGCUUUAUUUUUUUCUUAUAUGUCUCUUAGGUUAAAAAGAAUUAAAACUCUAGACCUACUUUUGAUAAUAAAAAGAGGAGUGCUAGGGCCAGCAACUUUUGUGAUCAAUGAUGGUUUUAAUGGUAUGAGAUUGGUGUGAGAUUUCAUCCAAUAGUUCACUUUUCUUUACUGGUUACAUUGUUGGCUAGAAUUUGAAAAAGUUGCUGGCCCUCUAGACUUUUCCCCUAAAUAUGUACCAACACAUACACAAUUAUGAGUGGAAAUUAAAACCAUGUAUUCAAUGAAUAUACUAAAACAAGAUAAUAAUUCAAAAGAAAGAGUACAAACCACAAACAGUGCUUUGAUGUGAUUAAUAGUGAGGUCAAAGGAUAAUGAACGGUGUUUCUUCAAUUGAAGCAAGACAUCAAUAAUAUCCUCUCCAUUUGAAGUGUCUCUGUUAGGAUCCAUGUGUUCAUCAAUCACUUCUUGAUAAAACUUAUCCAACUCCUUGAAAUUUUUAUCAAGACGGGCAUGCAUUCCAUUGAGUCGAUCAAUCCAACCCAAGAAAGGAAUAUAAUCCGAAACAAAGAAGCCACCCAACAUUGCUUGACAUUCAUUGAGCAAAUCAUGGAACCUACUCCUUUCAACUCCUUCAUCUUCAUACCUUCUUCCAAAGGCAAUCCUACAAAUAAUAGUGCUUGUUAGAGAAAUUAUCAUUUCAUUCAAAUUUGUCACCUUUUUUGAUGAUGCAUGGCUUGAUAUUUUCUUGAUCCAUUUCUUGACCUCAAAUUUUCUUAUUGAAGAAAAGCUUGAUACACGCCUAGAGCUAAGAACAUGGGCUACACAUACUUUUCUAGUUUCUCUCCAAAAUUCAUUGUAUGGAGAAAAAUUUAUCCCUAACCCAUUGUAGGUUAAUUUUUGCUGACCAAUUAAGUUUGGUCUUCCGGCAAAUUCACGGUCAUGGUUUUUCAAUGCUUCUUUGGCCAACUCAGGGGAUGAAAUAACAAUUGCUUUCCUUAGACCUAAUUGAAGGG
rnacentral:lncRNA from 1 species